AGUGGGGAAUAUUGGACAAUGGGCGAAAGCCUGAUCCAGCAAUGCCGCGUGAGUGAUGAAGGCCUUAGGGUUGUAAAGCUCUUUUACCCGGGAUGAUAAUGACAGUACCGGGAGAAUAAGCCCCGGCUAACUCCGUGCCAGCAGCCGCGGUAAUACGGAGGGGGCUAGCGUUGUUCGGAAAUACUGGGCGUAAAGCGCACGUAGGCGGCUCGGUAAGUCAGAGGUGAAAUCCCAGGGCUCAACCCUGGAACUGCCCUUGAAACUGCCAAGCUAGAAUCUUGGAGAGGUCAGUGGAAUUCCGAGUGUAGAGGUGAAAUUCGUAGAUAUUCGGAAGAACACCAGUGGCGAAGGCGACUGACUGGACAAGUAUUGACGCUGAGGUGCGAAAGCGUGGGGAGCAAA
rnacentral:rRNA from 1 species